UACAGAGGUCUCAAGCGUUGUUCGGAUUCAUUGGGCGUAAAGGGUGUGUAGGUGGCGCCGUAAGUCGGGUGUGAAAUUUCGGAGCUUAACUCCGAAACUGCAUUCGAUACUGCGGUGCUUGAGGACUGGAGAGGAGACUGGAAUUCAUGGUGUAGCAGUGAAAUGCGUAGAGAUCAUGAGGAAGACCAGUGGCGAAGGCGGGUCUCUGGGCAGUAACUGACGCUGAGGAGCGAAAGCGUGGGGAGCGAACAGG
rnacentral:rRNA from 1 species